UGGGGAAUUUUGGACAAUGGGGGAAACCCUGAUCCAGCCAUCCCGCGUGUGCGAUGAAGGCCUUCGGGUUGUAAAGCACUUUUGGCAGGAAAGAAACGUCGCGGGUUAAUACCCCGCGAAACUGACGGUACCUGCAGAAUAAGCACCGGCUAACUACGUGCCAGCAGCCGCGGUAAUACGUAGGGUGCAAGCGUUAAUCGGAAUUACUGGGCGUAAAGCGUGCGCAGGCGGUUCGGAAAGAAAGAUGUGAAAUCCCAGAGCUUAACUUUGGAACUGCAUUUUUAACUACCGGGCUAGAGUGUGUCAGAGGGAGGUGGAAUUCCGCGUGUAGCAGUGAAAUGCGUAGAUAUGCGGAGGAACACCGAUGGCGAAGGCAGCCUCCUGGGAUAACACUGACGCUCAUGCACGAAAGCGUGGGGAGCAAACAGGAUUAGAUACCCUGGUAGUCCACGCCCUAAACGAUGUCAACUAGCUGUUGGGGCCUUCGGGCCUUGGUAGCGCAGCUAACGCGUGAAGUUGACCGCCUGGGGAGUACGGUCGCAAGAUUAAAACUCAAAUGAAUGACGGGGUCAUAGCUG
rnacentral:rRNA from 1 species